GAAAUGCGAUAAGUAGUGUGAAUUGCAGAAUUUAGCGAAUCAUCGAAUCUUUGAACGCACAUUGCGCCCCUUGGUAUUCCAUGGGGCAUGCCUGUUCGAGCGUCAUUUCAACCCUCAAGCACUGCUUGGUGUUGGGCGUUUGUCCCGCCUACGCGCGUGGACUCGCCUCAAAGUCAUUGGCGGCUGUUGCCCUUCGGCUCGUAAGCGCAGCACAGUCGGCGCCCGGAGCUCUGGUGGGAUGGCGUCCAGCAAGCUAUAUUUUCAGGCUUGACCUCGGAUCAGGUAGGGAUACCCGCUGAACUUAAGC
rnacentral:misc_RNA from 1 species